GACGAACGCUGGCGGCGUGCUUAACACAUGCAAGUCGAACGGAAAGGCCCUGCUCUUGUGGGGCGCUCGAGUGGCGAACGGGUGAGUAACACGUGAGUAACCUGCCCCUGACUUUGGGAUAACUUCAGGAAACUGGGGCUAAUACCGGAUAGGAGCUCCUGCUGCAUGGUGGGGGUUGGAAAGAUUCGGCGGUUGGGGAUGGACUCGCGGCUUAUCAGCUUGUUGGUGGGGUAGUGGCUUACCAAGGCUUUGACGGGUAGCCGGCCUGAGAGGGUGACCGGCCACAUUGGGACUGAGGUACGGCCCAGACUCCUACGGGAGGCAGCAGUGGGGAAUAUUGCAGAAUGGGCGGAAGCCUGAUGCAGCAACGCCGCGUGCGGGAUGACGGCCUUCGGGUUGUAAACCGCUUUCGCCUGUGACGAAGCGUGAGUGACGGUAAUGGGUAAAGAAGCACCGGCUAACUACGUG
rnacentral:rRNA from 1 species